rnacentral:rRNA from 1 species
UACGUAGGGGGCAAGCGUUAUCCGGAUUUACUGGGUGUAAAGGGAGCGCAGGCGGUAUGGCAAGUCAGAUGUGAAAACCCAGGGCUCAACCCUGGGACUGCAUUUGAAACUGCCAUACUGGAGUGCCGGAGAGGUAAGUGGAAUUCCUAGUGUAGCGGUGAAAUGCGUAGAUAUUAGGAGGAACACCAGUGGCGAAGGCAGCAUACCGGCGCCCGACUGACGCUGAGGCACGAAAGUGCGGGUAUCGAACAGG